GCUGACAAGUGGUAAAGCAAAAGGAGGGAGAGCAGGUGUGUCUGGUUCCAGUGCCCGGGGCUCCCUCGCUCUCUCGAGGCAGAGAUCCUUCUGCAACAGGCAGAGCUGAGUCCAGAGAUAUUUUACAGGGUGAGUCCUGAAGAAAGAACCAGGCCUCCCCCCAGACAAACCUUGGAAAGCUCAACCGCAGAGUCACAACAAACAGUGUUCCUGCCUUCCCUCGGGACCUUUUCCUGCUUUCCGUCUAUUUGGACAUUCAAGACUUAGGGUGAUCAUUUGACCUCAGACCUUAAGAGUUACGGAGAGAAUGGAAAUGGGGACACUUGGUCCAGGGAGGUGAAGCAGCUUCCCCAUGGCUGUGCACCCCAUAACACCAGGGAGGACCCCAUGCGAAGUCUCCAGAUUCUCCAACAGCUAGGACUGGCUUUCAGCGCCACCUCUCCAGCCAAUGAGCCACGUAACCGUGAGUCAUUUACCUUCAUGGCGAAAAACUUAUACACAUUUAAGUGCUCUAGAUGGCAUGAGGGUUCAAGGAACUCUAGUGUUCUCCCCACCCAGCUCUCACCUCCAAUCCAGCCCACUUUCUACUAGAGAACAGCAG